ACUACUGCUGCUACUGCUACUACUACUACUACUACUACUACUACUACUACUACUACUACUACUACUACUGUAAUAGGCACUACUUUGCAUGAAGAAAAGAAUAGAUAUAAGAGUAGAAUUAGAAGGAAAUUAGAGACGCGUUAGAGAAUCUAACGCUAGUAUUAGAAGAAUUGUGCAAGAGGUGAACAGGACGUUGAAUUGAUAACAGCCAAGCUUAACUAUAAACAGCCGGUUUGUUUUAUGCCCAUUCAGCUUGUUAAAGGCUUACCUCCCAUUGGGUGGAGAUUAAAACGUCAUUCAUUUUGCUUGAUAUUAUUGGCUAUGGAAAUCUAUGACGUAUGCCUCGACACCUCUCGGACAAUCCUCAAGUCACUUUUAGAGUAGCAGCCAGUCACCAAGAUAGUACAGACGCACAACCCGUGUCGCUCUGACUUGAGUUACUCAAAGACUUAGACUCUGAUCAAGACGCAAGAGUCUUAAUAACUUUGCUUAUAACCUUUGUCGUGUGAUUGAGUAGUAAAGAAGAGCACUGUUGUUGAGCUGUAAGACAAUUUAUAUUUUCUAAAUAAACUGCAACACGCCAGACUAACUUUGAUAACCCACUUGCACAAGGAUGUUGUGAGUGAUGAUUAUCGAGAAAGAAAAUCGUCGUUUCCGAUACCAAGCUACGCCCACCGACACAUAGUCGCCACAGAGGCUAGAGACAGUGUGCACACAUACAUGACAACACAGUGGUGGCAACACAGUGGUGUUCAGCUUAUUGGGAUUCUGAAGCCUAAACAACCUCCGAAGAGUAAGAAGAGUUUACAAACAUUAAAAACAAACAGCAGCAACGGAAACAACAGCAAUAACGCUUCCCCAGCCAACACAGUGAGUCAAGGUCAACCCCACAAGUGUGCACAAGUCCCGCACCGCGCAGCACCGCGCCACACCUCAUCACACUCCCGAGCCACUACUCACACGAUCAAACUCAAGAGUAACUCUCAAUUAAUACCACCAAACAACGAGACCAAUAUCUAAAUACUAAGAAGAGACUUAGAAGAGGAAACCGCAGCCAGAGACGAGAGCAGGAUCAGCGCCGCCCCAGCAGCCGCCGCACACAGCCAUCAGCCACAGCACGCCGCCACCAGCAGCCGCUGCACACAGCCAUCAGCCACAGCACGCCGCCACUAGCAGCCGCGGCUCAAGAGGACAUCGCUACUCACUUGUCUAUACUUUGGUAACAGUAUUCAACCUGUCAAUCAUUAAUGUAAUUAUAUUCAUGUAAUACUUUAUCUAAUACCCAGUGGACCAACAGUUUGUGUAUGCCUGAGGAAUGACUGAGCACGAAGAAACAUUGAGUAUAACUGCCUUAUUGUAGAGCGUCUCCCAACAUUAUCACACACACUACCCAUCAUCAUAGGACAAGUUGCGUUGAAAUCGCCCAUGACGACAGUGGUGCCGGCAUCCACAGUGUGCUGCGUCAGUACUCCGCACUGAGCAUCAUGACAAUAAGGGGAGGCAUCUGGAGGUAUAUAUACGCCUCCUAACUUCAGUUCUGGAAUGCAUCACAAAACCACCGUGGCAUAUCUGGUCCUCAGCAUCCACGUCAACUUGCUUCACACUGUGCAUCAGUGCAUCCUGGCCAAGCAUCACCACUCCUCUAUUGCGUCCACUUCUUGACACAUUUCGGCACACACUAAAUCCCGGUACUUGUACGUUGUAAUAUUUUGUGGCUUCAAGAAUCCAGACGAUGUCAAAGUCCAGAAUAAACUUCAGUAUACUUG